rnacentral:lncRNA from 10 species
UUCAGGCGCGCCUCUCCUCUCUCGGACUUUCACAACCACCAGCGACAUCAAUCUCUCGCUUCCUGCUCCACUUCUCGGCGCCCACAUCUCCAACUGGCUCAGGCUCCCCAUGUCCCCAGCCGGUACGGAGCUGCGGUCAGCGGAUUGUGCGGCUGAGCCAUCCUCGUGACGGUCCCGCCUCACUCACCCUCCGUCACCUCCAGCACCUUAAUCUGUUCUUCAGCAGCCGCCCGCACCUCCUGUACUGGGGAUAGGAUCCCGGUGAGCGUAUCCACUAACGCUUCCUUUAAUCCUUGUGCCACUGGACCCGGCAGCCCGGAGGCCGCACCAGCUGCCGCCGCCGCCGCCAUCUUUUCUCCCCUCAGCCCGCCAGCCCCGCGGCCGGGACCCGCCACCGAAUGACGGCCCCCGCGCGCGGCCAAUCCGCGAAGCCGCGCCUGCGCACCAGAGGCGGGCGGGAGCGGGCGGAGGGCGGGGAAUGAAUCUAAGCCUCCAGAGACAGCGCCUCCUGCUGCCUGAACGAGAACUGCACCUUUCUCUGCAAGGAUCUCUGGAUUUGUGUGAAAACUGAGCCCCAGACAGGUUAAGGGGCUUUCCUAAAGUUGCACAAAUGGCUUCUACUCACCAGAGGAUCUGAGUCCAGAGAACUUGGGGUGCUGUCUUUGACUGUCCUAUCCUCGGGAGAUUCUUCAAAACAUCCCAUUUUCCCCAGGAAGUUCUCCUUGAUUCCAUGGGAGUAGGGAGACCACAAGCUGUGCAGAUUCACGUCCCUCCUGGGAAGAGGUUUACCUGGUCCAUAAGCACUAACCUGCCAUGGUCUACUCUGCUCCAGUGCCACCCUC